rnacentral:tRNA from 1 species
UCAGAGGGUAGUUUAAUAUAAGAUACCAGCUUUGGGAGUUGGUGAUGGGGGUUUAUGGUCCCCCCUCUCUGAU